UCAACCAAGGUGUUUCCCGAGAACUCUGAGGAUUCAAAAGAAGUUGUGUUCGGCAGAUGCUACUCAGGUGACCUGUUGCACUAAACUACAAAACAAGUUUGCAAUCCCAAGUAGGACAUCUUUUGAAGCUUGUCUUUUGGGAAGUGAUUCAUAUGCUUUCUGCAGCGGCUUUGACAAUGGAAACAACACUGACAACUAUAAAGAAGAGUUGAAGGAAAAUUCAGGUGUGCUUUGUUGGAAAACCCCCGCACUUCCCUCAGG
rnacentral:lncRNA from 1 species